CCGGUGGUGAUCGUGAUUAUUGGGUCUAAAGGGUCCGUAGCCGGUUUGGUCAGUCCUCCGGGAAAUCUGAUAGCUCAACUAUUAGGCUUUCGGGGGAUACUGCCAGACUUGGAACCGGGAGAGGUAAGAGGUACUACAGGGGUAGGAGUGAAAUCUUGUAAUCCCUGUGGGACCACCUGUGGCGAAGGCGUCUUACCAGAACGGGUUCGACGGUGAGGGACGAAAGCUGGGGGCACGAACCGGAUUAGAUACCCGGGUAGUCCCAGCCGUAAACGAUGCUCGCUAGGUGUCAGGCAUGGCGCGACCGUGUCUGGUGCCGCAAGGAAGCCGUGAAGCGAGCCACCUGGGAAGUACGGCCGCAAGGCUGAAACUUAAAGGAAUUGGCGGGGGAGCACAACGACGGGUGGAGCCUGCGGUUUAAUUGGACUCAACGCCGGACAACUCACCGGGGGCGACAGCAAUAUGUAGGCCAAGCUGAAGACUUUGCCUGAAUCACUGAGAGGAGGUGCAUGGCCGUCGCCAGUUCGUACUGUGAAGCAUCCUGUUAAGUCAGGCAACGAGCGAGACCCGUGCCCACUGUUACCAGCAUGUCCUCCGGGACGAUGGGGUACUCUUUGGGGACCCG
rnacentral:rRNA from 1 species